rnacentral:rRNA from 1 species
UACAGAGACUGCAAGCGUUAUUCGGAUUCACUGGGCGUAAAGGGUGCGUAGGUGGUUAGGUAAGUCCGAUGUGAAAUCUCCAGGCUCAACCUGGAAAUGGCAUUGGAUACUAUUUAGCUUGAGGAGUGGAGGGGGGACUGGAAUUCUCGGUGUAGCAGUGAAAUGCGUAGAUAUCGAGAGGAACACCAGUGGCGAAGGCGAGUCCCUGGACACUUCCUGACACUGAGGCACGAAAGCUAGGGGAGCAAACAGG